UUAUAAGGUAACUUUGAAAGGAAAGACGUGGAUUGAUGAUUCAGACAGCCAAAAUUUUGUAGAGAUCAAUCUUUACCUAUCCAAUGAAACAUCCAGAUGUCUACGACGUUAUCGUGAUCUAAAUAGUGAUGACUUCGAUCAACAUUCUUAUCCAGUGGAACAUUC
rnacentral:sRNA from 1 species